rnacentral:rRNA from 1 species
AUUGAACGCUGGCGGCAGGCCUAACACAUGCAAGUCGAGCGGAGCGGCGGACGGGUGAGUACUGCCUAGGAAUCUGCCUGGUAGUUGGGGAUAACGUCCGGAAACGGGCGCUAAUACCGCAUACUAUCAGAUGAGCCUAGGUCGGAUUAGCUAGUUGGUGGGGUAAAGGCCUACCAAGGCGACGAUCCGUAACUGGUCUGAGAGGAUGAUCAGUCACACUGGAACUGAGACAAGGUCCAGACGCCUACGGGAGGCAGCAGUGGGGAAUAUUGGACAGUGGGCGAAAGGCUGAUCCAGCAAUGCCGCGUGGGUGAAGAAGGUCGUCGGAUUGUAAAGAACUUUAAGUUGGAAGGCGUUAACAACAGAAUAAGCACCGGCUAACUUCGUGCCAGCAGCCGCGGUAAUAC